GCGGGUGUGGUGAAAUUGGUAGACACGCCAGACUUAGGAUCUGGUGCCGAGAGGUGUGCGGGUUCGAGUCCCUCCACCCGCA
rnacentral:tRNA from 1 species